AGAGCGAACGCUGGCGGCAGGCCUAAUACAUGCAAGUCGAGCGGGUGUAGCAAUACACCAGCGGCAGACGGGGGAGUAACACGUGGGAACGUGCCCUUCAGUUCGGAACAACCCAGGGAAACUUGGGCUAAUACCGGAUACGUCCGUAAGGAGAAAGAUUUAUCGCUGAAGGAUCGGCCCGCGUCUGAUUAGCUUGUUGGUGGGGUAAUGGCUCACCAAGGCGACGAUCAGUAGCUGGUCUGAGAGGAUGAUCAGCCUCACUGGGACUGAGACACGGCCCAGACUCCUACGGGAGGCAGCAGUAGGGAAUAUUGGACAAUGGGCGCAAGCCUGAUCCAGCCAUGCCGCGUGGGUGAUGAAGGCCCUAGGGUUGUAAAGCCCUUUCGGCGGGGAAGAUAAUGACGGUACCCGCAGAAGAAGCCCCGGCUAACUUCGCGCCAGCAGCCGC
rnacentral:rRNA from 1 species